CAACAGGAUUAGAUNCCNNGUANNCNNCGCUGUAAACGAUGUCGACUUGGAGGUUGUGCCCUNGAGGCGUGGCUUCCGGAGCUAACGCGUUAAGUCGACCGCCUGGGGAGUACGGCCGCAAGGUUAAAACUCAAAUGAAUUGACGGGGGCCCGCACAAGCGGUGGAGCAUGUGGUUUAAUUCGAUGCAACGCGAAGAACCUUACCUACUCUUGACAUCCAGAGAACUUGGCAGAGAUGCUUUGGUGCCUUCGGGAACUCUGAGACAGGUGCUGCAUGGCUGUCGUCAGCUCGUGUUGUGAAAUGUUGGGUUAAGUCCCGCAACGAGCGCAACCCUUAUCCUUUGUUGCCAGCGCGUAAUGGCGGGAACUCAAAGGAGACUGCCGGUGAUAAACCGGAGGAAGGUGGGGAUGACGUCAAGUCAUCAUGGCCCUUACGAGUAGGGCUACACACGUGCUACAAUGGCGUAUACAAAGGGAAGCGACCCUGCGANGGCAAGCGGAACUCAUAAAGUACGUCGUAGUCCGGAUUGGAGUCUGCAACUCGACUCCAUGAAGUCGGAAUCGCUAGUAAUCGUAGAUCAGAAUGCUACGGUGAAUACGUUCCCGGGCCUUGUACACACCGCCNNUCNCNCCAUGGGAGUGGGUUGCAAAAGAAGUAGGUAGCUUAACCUCCGGGAGG
rnacentral:rRNA from 1 species